UAUCGUCAAUUAACCCUUUGUCCACACCAAAGCUAAUUAGAAGCUGUGAAGGUCAAAGUCUCUCGCACUUCAUUGUACCCUUUAGCCAUGAAGCGUCUCACUUGACAGCCACAGCGACAGAAAUCCAGGACAUCUGACAAAGCGACUGAAAGAGACACCCAGACUGAUGCAUGCCCCAACAAGGAAAAUUGUCCAUCAGAUCUUCCUUCUUCUGGGCGUAGGGACACGCAUGCAUCAAAAAGGAGCCAGAGUUUCUCCUCCCUUGGUUGGACUGAAGCAGGAAGUUUAUUGAUGUCAGGGUUGAUUUCACCGCAUUUCUGCCCAAUUUGGCAUGCCCAAUUCCCGAGAGCGAGAACCACAUUGAGGCGACCACGAGGAGGUUAACCCAACAUGACUCUACCCACACUAGCAACCAUUCCAAUUGAUUGCUUAGGAGACCUGACUGGAGUCAAUCAGCAUGCCCUGGAUUCGAAC